GUGCUUGCUUGGGCAGCACACGUACUAAAAUCAGAACAACACAGAGCGGAUUAGCACGGCCCCUACCCAA
rnacentral:snRNA from 1 species